rnacentral:lncRNA from 1 species
AAAACUCUUGUUAAUUAAUAGACUUCCUAGUUCCUCCUUCCAAAACUAGAAGUUUUGGUUUCUUUGUAACUUGAUCGUGAAUGAUACUCCGUCUCAAUUUGACUUUAAUGUUGGAGUUGUUGGAAAUUACAGUAUUAACAAGACAAAGAAACAGUAAAACAUAGUAAACCGAAGCGUAGUAAAACUACUGUUCUAAAAAGUGAUUUCGCCCUCACUAAUUUUAACCAUUGGUACAGAUGAGGUCCGGCGUCUACUCUCCAGAAUUCAAGGGUGAAACCUUCAAUUGUGUGUACUCA